rnacentral:rRNA from 1 species
GGUUAAGCGACUAAGCGUACACGGUGGAUGCCCUGGCAGUCAGAGGCGAUGAAGGGCGUGCUAAUCUGCGAUAAGCGCCGGUAAGGUGAUAUGAACCGUUAUAACCGGCGAUACCCGAAUGGGGAAACCCAGUGUGAUUCGUCACACUAUCAUUAACUGAAUCCAUAGGUUAAUGAGGCGAACCGGGGGAACUGAAACAUCUAAGUACCCCGAGGAAAAGAAAUCAACCGAGAUUCCCCCAGUAGCGGCGAGCGAACGGGGAGGAGCCCAGAGCCUGAAUCAGCAUGUGUGUUAGUGGAAGCGUCUGGAAAGACGCGCGAUACAGGGUGACAGCCCCGUA